rnacentral:rRNA from 15 species
CGCCGUGGGUACACCCGAUCCCAUUCCGAACUCGGAAGUUAAGCACGGUAGUGGCGAUGGUACUCUAAAAGG